ensembl:lncRNA
UCCCCAUUGACCCCAUUGACCCCAUUGACCCCAUUGACUUCAAUGUCCCCACUGUCCCCAUUGACCCCAACGUCCCCAUUGUCUCCACUGUCCCCACUGCCCCCACUGUCCCCACUGUCCCCACUGUCCCCAUUAUCCCCAAGGUCCCCAUUGUCCCCACUGUCCCCAUUAUCCCCAACGUCCCCACUGUCUCCACUGUCCCCACUGCCCCCAUUGUCCCCACUGUCCCCAUUAUCCCCAAGGUCCCCAAUGGCCCCAUUGUCUCCACUGCCCCCACUGCCCCCACUGUCCCAACGUCCCCAUUGUCUUCACUGUCCCCAAUGUCCCCAUUGUCUCCACUGUCCCC